GUGCCAGCCGCCGCGGUAAUACCGGCAGCUCGAGUGAUGGCCGAUUUUAUUGGGCCUAAAGCGUUCGUAGCCGGCCACACAAGUCCGUCGGGAAAUCCACUCGCCCAACGAGUGGGCGUCCGACGGAAACUGCACAGCUUGGGACCGGAAGGCUCGAAGGGUACGUUCGGGGUAGGAGUGAAAUCCCAUAAUCCCGCACGGACCACCGAUGGCGGAAGCACUUCGAGAAAACGGAUCCGACAGUGAGGGACGAAAGCCAGGGUCUCCAACCGGAUUAGAUACCCGUGUAGUCC
rnacentral:rRNA from 1 species